rnacentral:rRNA from 1 species
CGAAGGGACGAGAAGCUUGCUUCUCUGAUGUUAGCGGCGGACGGGUGAGUAACACGUGGAUAACCUACCUAUAAGACUGGGAUAACUUCGGGAAACCGGAGCUAAUACCGGAUAAUAUUUUGAACCGCAUGGUUCAAAAGUGAAAGACGGUCUUGCUGUCACUUAUAGAUGGAUCCGCGCUGCAUUAGCUAGUUGGUAAGGUAACGGCUUACCAAGGCAACGAUGCAUAGCCGACCUGAGAGGGUGAUCGGCCACACUGGAACUGAGACACGGUCCAGACUCCUACGGGAGGCAGCAGUAGGGAAUCUUCCGCAAUGGGCGAAAGCCUGACGGAGCAACGCCGCGUGAGUGAUGAAGGUCUUCGGAUCGUAAAACUCUGUUAUUAGGGAAGAACAUAUGUGUAAGUAACUGUGCACAUCUUGACGGUACCUAAUCAGAAAGCCACGGCUAACUACGUGCCAGCAGCCGCGGUAAUACGUAGGUGGCAAGCGUUAUCCGGAAUUAUUGGGCGUAAAGCGCGCGUAGGCGGUUUUUUAAGUCUGAUGUGAAAGCCCACGGCUCAACCGUGGAGGGUCAUUGGAAACUGGAAAACUUGAGUGCAGAAGAGGAAAGUGGAAUUCCAUGUGUAGCGGUGAAAUGCGCAGAGAUAUGGAGGAACACCAGUGGCGAAGGCGACUUUCUGGUCUGUAACUGACGCUGAUGUGCGAAAGCGUGGGGAUCAAACAGGAUUAGAUACCCUGGUAGUCCACGCCGUAAACGAUGAGUGCUAAGUGUUAGGGGGUUUCCGCCCCUUAGUGCUGCAGCUAACGCAUUAAGCACUCCGCCUGGGGAGUACGACCGCAAGGUUGAAACUCAAAGGAAUUGACGGGGACCCGCACAAGCGGUGGAACAUGUGGUUUAAUUCGAAGCAACGCGAAGAACCUUACCAAAUCUUGACAUCCUUUGACAACUCUAGAGAUAGAGCUUUCCCCUUCGGGGGACAAAGUGACAGGUGGUGCAUGGUUGUCGUCAGCUCGUGUCGUGAGAUGUUGGGUUAAGUCCCGCAACGAGCGCAACCCUUAAGCUUAGUUGCCAUCAUUAAGUUGGGCACUCUAAGUUGACUGCCGGUGACAAACCGGAGGAAGGUGGGGAUGACGUCAAAUCAUCAUGCCCCUUAUGAUUUGGGCUACACACGUGCUACAAUGGACAAUACAAAGGGCAGCGAAACCGCGAGGUCAAGCAAAUCCCAUAAAGUUGUUCUCAGUUCGGAUUGUAGUCUGCAACUCGACUACAUGAAGCUGGAAUCGCUAGUAAUCGUAGAUCAGCAUGCUACGGUGAAUACGUUCCCGGGUCUUGUACACACCGCCCGUCACACCACGAGAGUUUGUAACACCCGAAGCCGGUGGAGUAACCAUGUUAGGA